UCUGCAUGGUGCUAGUCUUGGCGUGAUAAUAUUCAAUUUGCAUCACUUGGAGUUGGGACCACUCUUUACAUCUACAUAUUUUUGUUCCUAUUUGUAUAUCAUUAAUUUUUCCACACCCUUUUUCUUUCACCAAUAUAUUUAUUAAUUUCUCUUAUCUUUAUCACUUAUCCCACAGAAAAAAAACUCUUAAAGAGAUAAUUCCCCUUUAUUUUUCUUCCUCACACCCCUAUUUAUACCCCCACUUCGUUGAGGAAGUCAUAUAAACUUAGGUCUCUUCUUCUUCUUUUAUUUUUUUUCUCUUCUUGUUAUUAGGUUUUCUUGAUUUUGUUGAUAUAUUUCUAGCGUACACCACUAUCAGUUGAAGCUGCCAGCAUGAUCUAAACUUACCUACAAUUAAGUUGAGGGAAGAUCAGAUCAUGUGGUAGCUUCACCCGUUAGUUGGUACUACGAAUAAUUAGUAGUAUUAAUUCAUCAUGAACCCUAAUCUCUUCAUUACUGUUGUAUUGUUCUUCUUACACUUGAUGUAUAUGCAGAUUCCUAUGGAGGAAGAGAAUUAUAUUAAGGGACGAAAUGAUGCUAAACGAUUACAAUGACCAAGUGCAAUGGACACUUUAAAGUGGAAGGAAGCGAAAACAAAAGAGGGGAAGAAAUAUAUAUAGAACAUUACAACAACAAUAAUACCUUGGGAGUGAACAUUAAUGUACUCAAUUACUUUAAAAUUUAUUAAAGCACUGAUUUUUUUUUCUCAUCUAGAAAAUAUAAAUGGCUUGAGGAGACAAAGGGAGGAACAAAUUUUCCAAGAAAUAUUUCACUUAUUCCUUGUGAAAUUUUGGCCCUGGGUACUGUAAGGUAGAAAUUGCAUUUACAGGCUACUUUUCAGUCCUAUCUUUAAAAAUAGUAAUUAUGAAAUUUUGAAACUCCAGAACACGUUUAUUGUUCAA